rnacentral:rRNA from 1 species
CUAAUACAUGCAAGUCGAGCGAGCGGAACCAACAGAUUUACUUCGGUAAUGACGUUGGGAAAGCGAGCGGCGGAUGGGUGAGUAACACGUGGGGAACCUGCCCCUAAGUCUGGGAUACCAUUUGGAAACAGGUGCUAAUACCGGAUAAUAAAGCAGAUCGCAUGAUCAGCUUUUGAAAGGCGGCGUAAGCUGUCGCUAAGGGAUGGCCCCGCGGUGCAUUAGCUAGUUGGUAAGGUAACGGCUUACCAAGGCGACGAUGCAUAGCCGAGUUGAGAGACUGAUCGGCCACAUUGGGACUGAGACACGGCCCAACUCCUACGGAAGGCAGCAGUAGGGAAUCUUCCACAAUGGACGCAAGUCUGAUGGAGCAACGCCGCGUGAGUGAAGAAGGUUUUCGGAUCGUAAGCUCUGUUGUUGGUGAA